AUGGCCAUGUUCCAGAAGCAGUCUCUCCUGACAUUUCACCCACAUCUAUGGCAGACAUCCUCAGAGAUAGUGAGUUCCUCUGAGAUCUCUGCAGCAGCAGGAAUUAGACAGAGAACCCUGAAUGAAGAUUCAUAUGCCCCUGAGCUCCUCUUUUGGAAGACAUCCAAAAGUUGCUGCAUCAUGAUAUCCAUUCACUUUGAAAACUGUUAGCUUAGAUGGUUAAUUAUUCC
rnacentral:lncRNA from 11 species